GGAAGGGUGGCUGAGUGGUUGAAGGCACCUGACUCGAAAUCAGGCGUCCUGCUUUUGCGGGACCGUGGGUUCGAAUCCCACCCCUUCCGCCA
rnacentral:tRNA from 1 species